rnacentral:misc_RNA from 1 species
GCAAACUUGGUCAUUUAGAGGAAGUAAAAGUCGUAACAAGGUUUCCGUAGGUGAACCUGCGGAAGGAUCAUUAUCGAGUUUUGAAAGGAGUUGUAGCUGGCCUUUGCGGAGGCAUGUGCACGCUCUGUUCAAUCCACUCUCUACACCUUGUGCACUCACUGUGGGUCUUCGGAUGGUUUGCAGCUAGCUCUGUGAACCUCUUGGGGGCUCACGUUUCACUUUACAAACACUUAUGAAGUAACAGAAUGUGUAUCUUGAUGUAACGCAUCUAUAUACAACUUUCAGCAACGGAUCUCUUGGCUCUCGCAUCGAUGAAGAACGCAGC